GAGAGGCUGGGAGCGGGGCGCGGGGGGCGGGGAGGGGCGUGGGGAACGGCCGAGAUCGGAGUUGCUUCUUGCGCGCCCCUAGUGGUAGGAGGAUUCGGUCCCAGGCACCACCCUGUGUGAUCUUCCCCUUUCCUAGACUUCUGGCGCUGGGGUCACCAUCCCCGAGGAGGGAUCCAAAAGGAGGAGGAACGGAGACCAGAGGAGCGAAUGCGACGUGCUGGAAAAAUGCCGCCACCCUCCCGGCCCCCGCCAUUGGUUCUAGAAUCCCUAAUAACCUGGCAACGGGGCUGCAGAACGUCCGCAGACACCGUUGUUUUUAUAGCAACGGGUAGCUGCACCACCCCGGGUCCCCCUCUUUCCAGCCUUCCUCCCCAGCUCCUACUCCCCGUCCCCUGAGACCUAACUAGGGGCUCCUUAGCCCUCCCUGUUUCCCUCCUGCCCAAGAUUUCAACUCAUCUGCCAGGUCGGGGACAGCAAGCCGGCUGGCUGCCUUGUCUUGGGGAAGGGUCUCGUGUGGAAGGAAGGAGAGUGCCCCUGGGAGAAGUGGAGGGAGAGGACUGUUGUGGACGUUCCCACCCCACUCCCCCCACCCCCCAGGGAGAUUUAAGGCCAAGGUGGUUUUUUGUUUUUGUUUUGUUUUUUCCAGGGAGAGAACCAGGCAGCAGGAUGGUUCAUCUAAAGGCCUUAUUUAAAUCUGGCCCUUUUGAAGAAUGGGGUGGGAUGGGUUUGGGGAAAGUGGGCUGGUUUCUCAGCCUAACACAGGUCUCACCUGCUUCCAGGGGGAUGGCAUCCACACCUACCAGGAAUGAGGAGAAGAAGGGCAGCAGGAUGUCCCAAGCUGCAACCCCCUUGGGUGGAGGUCUGAAGGUUUCAUUAUCCCGAUCUGAGGAAUUCCUGACCCGGAUCAGCACAGAACUCACCAAUGAGGCCUUGUUUAUCGCUGGCUGCCACAUGAACUCUGUGCCCAAGAAGGAAAAACAGACACAAGACCGAGGGACUCAGAUAUCCAAACACGGUGACCCCCCCACUCCAGGACCACUGUGUCCAGAGACCCUACCAUACCCCGAGUUCCAGUCCCUAUCCCUUCCCAACCACAGCUGACCUUUCCAGCAAUCCGGGCCCGUCUCCCCAAUCUCACAGCCAGCUCUUGGACUGAGUCGUGCUCCCGCCCUCCGACACCCCCAGUACCCACUCCUCACUGCUGGCCAGGAACACCUCGGCACCUUCCUCCCUAGCCACAUCUCUUUCUGGCCGUGGGGGUAAUAAUUUCUCUGACCGGGGCCUCUACUUCCAGUGUUCUUCAAGACCAGAGGCACGGAUACCCGGUGAGUGAAGCUUCAAGGGAGAUGCCCUUUGUCCUGGGAGAAGGCUGAGGAGCCCGGAGGGGGAGAGCGAGGGUUUGCCAACAUCCUAGCAGGUUCUGACAGAAACCGUACCCGCACCAAGGCGCACCUCCUGCCAUCCCCUCGUGACAAGGGAGCUCUGCUUAGCAGCUUGACACCUGGAGGAUGACCCCAGCCUUCUCUGGUGCUGCCCUUAGCCUCUCAUGUUCUCCCCCAUUGUGUCCUUCUAGAACAUGCAUCAGAGCUCCUCGUUCACAAGUCAGUAAUGCUUUAGUUUGCUGGGGACUCCUGGUCAUAAGCAGCAGCUGCACACUCGAAGCCUCCCAGGUGUUCUGGAACCAUCUCACACCUUUCCACCCUCAGCUGGCAAGGACAUCACCGGAAAUCAAAGGCUUUAAUAAAAAGACAGAGAGAGGUCCUUCCCUUCUCCCAACCCAG